AGGUAUUAUGUUUGGCUUUCUCAGUGCUUUUUCAAAAAUGUUAACUUUAACUGGCAAUGUAGUAAAUGUGUGUGGUUUGUUUUUUAAGGAAAUAGACAAACUGAAAGGAGAGCUUAUAGAAAUGAACCUACAAAUAGUUGACAGAGCCAUUCAGGUAGUUCGAAGUGCUUUAGCUAACCAGAUAGAUUGGACAGAAAUUGGGUUAAUUGUGAAAGAAGCCCAGGCUCAAGGAGACCCUGUUGCAAGUGCAAUCAAAGAAUUAAAACUACAAACAAACCAUGUUACAAUGCUGCUAAGAAAUCCAUACUUGUUAUCAGAGGAGGAAGAUGAUGAUGUUGAUGGUGACGUCAAUGUUGAGAAAAAUGAAACCGAACCACCAAAAGGAAAAAAGAAAAAACAAAAGAAUAAACAGCUGCAGAAGCCUCAGAAAAAUAAGCCGUUACUUGUAGAUGUUGAUCUCAGCUUGUCAGCAUAUGCCAAUGCCAAAAAGUAUUAUGAUCACAAGAGAUAUGCUGCUAAGAAAACACAAAAGACUGUUGAAGCUGCUGAGAA
rnacentral:sRNA from 1 species